rnacentral:rRNA from 1 species
UUUCCUGGGGAAGGUUCGUCCUCCCAGGGUAAGUCGGGACCUAAGCCGAGGCCGAGAGGCGUAGGCGAUGGACAUCAGGUUAAUAAUCCUGAGCUCGCAACCCUUAAACUGGGGGGACGCAUGAGAAAAGAUGACUAGGUUAUUGAAUUCCGAGUUGAGUCUACGGACUCAGCGCAUCAUUGGAUCGAGUGCCAAGAAAAGCCCCAGCGUAUGCUAAGCGACCCGUACCGCAAACCGACACAGGUGGGUGGGUAGAAUAUACCAAGGCGUAAGAGUGAAACCUGGUUAAGGAACUCGGCAAAUUAGCCCCGUAACUUCGGAAGAAGGGGUGCCUGCAGCGAUGCAGGCCGCAGAGAAAUGGCCCAACCGACUGUUUAUCAAAAACACAGCACUCUGCAAAGACGCAAGUCGAAGUAUAGGGUGUGACACGUGACCAAUGCCGAAAGAUUAAGGCAAGGGGUUAGCCGCAAGGCGAAGCUCUAAACCCAAGUCCCGGUGAAUGUCGGCCGUAACUAUAACGGUCCUAAGGUAGCGAAAUUCCUUGUCGGGUAAGUUCCGACCUGCACGAAUCGUGAAACGAGUUGGGCACUGUCUCAACCAGGCGCUCAGUGAAAUUGUAGUGGCGGUGAAGAUGCCGCCUACCCGCAGAAGGACGGAAAGACCCUAUAGACCUUAACUGUAAGCUGUCAUUGUUUCUUCGGUUUUAAUGCUCAGAGUAAGUGGGAGACGCUGAAGACGCCCUUUAGGGGGCGUCCGAGUCAUCAAUGAGACACCACCCUUUGAAACUGGAGGAUCUAACCCUGAGCCGUGAAUCCGGCCAGAGGACCGUGUCAGCCGGUCAGUUUUACUGGGGCGGUAUCCUCCCAAAGAGUAACGGAGGAGCGCGAAGGUGGGCUCAGCCCGGUUGGCAACCGGGUGUCGAGUGCAUGGGCAUAAGCCCGCCUAACUGUGAGACCAACAAGUCGAGCAGAUGCGAAAGCAGGCCCAAGUGAUCCGGCGGUAGAAAGUGGAAUUGCCGUCGCUCAACGGAUAAAAGGUACCUUAGGGAUAACAGGCUGAUCACGCCCAAGAGUUCAUAUCGACGGCGUGGUUUGGCACCUCGAUGUCGGCUCGUCGCAUCC